UACGGGGGGGGUAAGCGUUGUUCGGAAUUACUGGGCGUAAAGGGCGCGUAGGCGGCCCGCUAAGUCGAACGUGAAAUCCCCGAGCUCAACUCGGGAACUGCGUCCGAUACUGGUGGGCUUGAAUCCGGGAGAGGGAUGCGGAAUUCCAGGUGUAGCGGUGAAAUGCGUAGAUAUCUGGAGGAACACCGAUGGCGAAGGCAGGUCUCUGGGCUGACACUGACGCUCAUGCACGAAAGCGUGGGGAGCAAACAGG
rnacentral:rRNA from 1 species